rnacentral:rRNA from 1 species
UACGGGGGGGGCAAGCGUUAUCCGGAUUCACUGGGUUAAAGGGUGCGUAGGUGGGCAAGUAAGUCAGUGGUGAAAUCUCCGGGCUUAACCCGGAAACUGCCAUUGAUACUAUUUGUCUUGAAUACUGUGGAGGUCAGCGGAAUAUGUCAUGUAGCGGUGAAAUGCUUAGAAUAUGACAUAGAACACCAAUUGCGAAGGCAGCUGGCUACA